UCCCUGGUGUCCAGUGGUUAAGACUCUGCACUUUCGAGGCAGGGGGUGUGGGUUCGAUCUCUGCUCAGGGAA
rnacentral:tRNA from 1 species